rnacentral:misc_RNA from 1 species
CCAAAGUUAUCACCGCUUAGCCUUAGGUCAAUUAUUCAUUCCAUCAAACCCAAACCAAUCAAUUACAUAGAGAAAUCAUGGUAAAAUAGACUCUAAAACAAUCCAUAAACUAAUGUGUCUCAAAUGAAGAUGGAAAUAAUUUAAAUGGAUGAAUGAUGUGCCAAUCCCAUAGGCAAACCAACUAAUCCAAUCUCCACUAAUGUAGCAAA